rnacentral:rRNA from 1 species
AUUGAACGCUGGCGGCAGGCCUAACACAUGCAAGUCGAGCGGAUGAAGGGAGCUUGCUCCUGGAUUCAGCGGCGGACGGGUGAGUAAUUCCUAGGAAUCUGCCUGGUAGUGGGGGAUAACGUCCGGAAACGGGCGCUAAUACCGCAUACGUCCUGAGGUAGAAAGUGGGGGUUCUUCGGACCUCACGCUAUCAGAUGAGCCUAGGUCGGAUUAGCUAGUUGGUGGGGUAAAGGCCUACCAAGGCGACGAUCCGUAACUGGUCUGAUAGGAUGAUCAGUCACACUGGAACUGAGACACGGUCCAGACUCCUACGGGAGGCAGCAGUGGGGAAUAUUGGACAAUGGGCGAAAGCCUGAUCCAGCCAUGCCGCGUGUGUGAAGAAGGUCUUCGGAUUGUAAAGCACUUUAAGUUGGGAGGAAGGGCAGUAAGUUAAUACCUUGCUGUUUUGACGUUACCAACAGAAUAAGCACCGGCUAACUUCGUG